UGUCUAUAUCACGUUGAAACAACGGUUCCCAUUAAAUCACUGAAGUGAAGCAACCUCAAGCCUAGCCAGUACCUAGAUGGGUGACUACUUAGGAAUACCAAGUACUGUAAG